rnacentral:misc_RNA from 1 species
UUCCAUUACCACACCUAAAAACUUUCCACGUGAACCGUUAUAACUAUGUUCUGUGCCUCGUCUUGUUGAAAGAUUUGAGGCUGAACGAAGGUGAGUCUGUGUCUUUUUGAUGUGGAUUUGCUGAUGUUAUUUUAAACACCUAUUACUUAAUACUGAACUAUACUCCGAAUACGAAAGUUUUUGGUUUUAACAAUUAACAACUUUCAGCAGUGGAUGUCUAGGCUCGCACAUCGAUGAAGAACGCUGCGAACUGCGAUACGUAAUGCGAAUUGCAGAAUUCAGUGAGUCAUCGAAAUUUUGAACGCAUAUUGCACUUUCGGGUUAUGCCUGGAAGUAUGCCUGUAUCAGUGUCCGUACAUCAAACUUGCCUUUCUUUUUUUGUGUAGUCAAAAUUGGAGAUGGCAGAAUGUGAGGUGUCUCGCG